rnacentral:tmRNA from 1 species
GGGGAUGUACAGGUUUCGACAGGGCUGUAGAAGCUAGUUUAGCGAGUAGAGGAUGCCAGUUGGCCUCUUUAAUCAUCUGGCAAAAUUGUAAUUGCAAAUAACGAUUACGCUUUAGCUGCAGCUUAAUUUUAUAGCAGCGCACAACCUAGGUUAUCUGUGACCUAGCCACUGUGAGGUUAACAGACCUUACCUGUUAGAGGUUAAACAGGGACCGCUUAGGUUUAAGCUUUGCGACCUAAGUGUACUUAUGAAGCUACCGGAGUGCCAGCCUGUCAGUUGGCACGGUACAAGGGGAAUACUUCAUAAACUGACUGCACUCGGAGAAGAGCUAGUGGAAAUAGUUUUGGACGCGAGUUCAAUUCUCGCCAUCUCCACCA